GGUUUGAUUAUGGCUCAGAUUAGACACUAGCAGGAUGCUUUACAUGCAGUCGAACUGGCAGCACGGACUUCGGUCUGGUGGCGAGUGGCGAACGGGUGAGUGAUAUCCGGAACGUGCCUAGUAGCGGGGAAUAACUACGCGAAAGCGUAGCUCUUCCGCAUACGCCCUUCGAGGGGAAAGCAGGGGACCUUCCCGGGCAUCGCACUAUUAGAGCAGCCGAUAUCGGAUUAGCUUAGUUGGUCGGUAACAGCUCGCAAGGCGACGAUCCGUAGCUGGUUUGAGAGGACGACCAGCCACACUGGGACUAGAGACACGGCAGACUCCUGCAGGAGGCAGCAGUGGGGAAUUUUUGGACAAUAAACCACGAUCCAACCAUCCCGCGUGUGCGAUGAAGGCCUUCGGGUUCUCAAAGCACUUUGGCGGGAAAGAAACGGCACGGGAUAAUACCCCGAUGCAACUGACGGUACCUGCAGAAUAAAAGCACCAGCUAACUACGUGCCAGCAGCCGCGGUAGCGUAGGGUGCAAGCGUUAAUCGGAAUGCUGGGCGUAAAGCGUGCGCGAGCAGUUCGGAAGGAAGAUGCGCGAAAUCGAGCACCAACCUACGACCUGCAUUUAACUACUGGAGCUGAAGGUUGAUCGGAAGUGGAAUUCCGCGUGUAGCAGUGAAAUGCGUGAAUAUGCGGAGGAACACCGCCGAUGGCGGCGCCUGGGGAUAACUUACUGACGCUCAUGCACGAAAAGCGUGGGGAGCAAACAGGAUUAGGUACCCUGGUGGUCCACGCCCUAAACAAUGUCAACUAGCUGUUGGGGCCUUCGGGCCUUGAGGGCAGCGCAACUAACGCGUGAAAGUUGACCACCUGGGGAAGUACGGUCGCAAGAUUAAAACUCAAGGAAUUGACGGGGACCCGCACAAGCGGUGGAUGAUGUGGAUUAAUUCGAUGCAACGCGAAAAACCUUACCUACCCUUGAUAUGUCUGGAGAUCCCGAAAGAGAUUUGGGAAGGUGCUCGCAAAAGAACCGGAACACGGGUGCUGCAUAGCUGUCGUCAGCUCGUGUCGUGGAUGUUGGGUUAAGUCCGCAACGAGCACACAGCCCUUGUCGUGGAUUGCUACGAAAGGGCACUCUAAUGAGACUGCCAGUGACAAACCGGAGGAAGGUGGGGAUGACAUCAAGUCCUCAUAGCCUAUGGGUAGGGCUUUCCCUUACGUCAUACAAUGGUCGGGACAGAGGGUCACUCAACAGAGGAGCCAAUCCCAGAAACCCGAUCGUAGUCCGGAUCGCAGUCUGCAACUCGACUGCGUGAAGUCAAGGUCGCGUAAUCAUGAAUCAGCAUGUCGCGAGUGAAUACGUUCCCGGGUCUUGUACCACACCGCCCAUCACCAUGGGGAGUGGGUUUUACCAGAAGUAGAUAGCCUAACCAGUAAGGAGGGCGAUUACCACGGUAGGAUUCAUGACUGGGGGUAAGUCGUAACAAAGGUAAUGA
rnacentral:rRNA from 1 species